GACGAACGCUGGCGGCGUGCUUAACACAUGCAAGUCGAACGGUGAAGCGCCUUCCUUUUUGGUGGGUGUGGAUGAGUGGCGAACGGGUGAGUAACACGUGAGUAACCUGCCCCCUUCUUCUGGAUAACCGCAUGAAAGUGUGGCUAAUACGGGAUAUUCUGGGUCUGUCGCAUGAUGGGUCUGGGAAAGAUAUUGUUUCGGUGGGGGAUGGGCUCGCGGCCUAUCAGCUUGUUGGUGGGGUGAUGGCCUACCAAGGCGGUGACGGGUAGCCGGCCUGAGAGGGUGGACGGUCACACUGGGACUGAGACACGGCCCAGACUCCUACGGGAGGCAGCAGUGGGGAAUAAUGCACAAUGGGCGCAAGCCUGAUGCAGCGACGCCGCGGGAGGGAUGGAGGCCUUCGGGUUGUGAACCUCUUUCGCCAGUGAAGCAGGCCUGCCUCGUUUGUGGGUGGGUUGACGGUAGCUGGAUAAGAAGCGCCGGCUAACUACGUA
rnacentral:rRNA from 1 species